rnacentral:rRNA from 1 species
GAGUUUGAUCGUGGCUCAGAUUGAACGCUGGCGGAAUGCUUUACACAUGCAAGUCGAGCGGCAGCGCGGGGCAACCUGGCGGCGAGCGGCGAACGGGUGAGUAAUGCAUCGGAACAUGUCCAUGUCGUGGGGGAUAGCCCGGCGAAAGCCGGAUUAAUACCGCAUACGCCCGAGAGGGGAAAGUGGGGGACCGCAAGGCCUCACGCGAUUGGGUUGGCCGAUGUCCGAUUAGCUAGUUGGUGGGGUAAAGGCCUACCAAGGCGAUGAUCGGUAGCUGGUCUGAGAGGAUGAUCAGCCACACUGGGACUGAGACACGGCCCAGACUCCUACGGGAGGCAGCAGUGGGGAAUUUUGGACAAUGGGGGCAACCCUGAUCCAGCCAUUCCGCGUGAGUGAAGAAGGCC